rnacentral:lncRNA from 1 species
UCAUCCAAAAGAUCAACAUUCGGCAACCAACACUCCUGUUCACCAGCAACGACAGUAUUCACUAGAAAAUCAGUAUUCAGUAGUUCAUCAAUAGCCAGCACCAUCCAUUCCUCUAAUUCCUCUCGGAUUUGAAGAUGUGUAUAGAGGUAGACCAGGAUGUAGAAGAAGCACACCACCGCUACAGCAGUUAAAGCAACUCGAUACUUCAUCAUCUAGCACCAAUUCAUCAUCUAGUCCAAAGACUCCAGUCUCCAAGAGAC